GGGGGGUACAGAAGGCAGCUACACGGCGACGUGAUGCUAAUCCCAAAAACCUCUCUCAGUUCGGAUCGAAGUCUGCAACCCGACUUCGUGAAGCUGGAUUCGCUAGUAAUCGCGCAUCAGCCAUGGCGCGGUGAAUACGUUCCCGGGCCUUGUACACACCGCCCGUCAAGCCAUGAAAGCCGGGGGUACCUGAAGUACGUAACCGCAAGGAGCGUCCUAGGGUAAAACUGGUAAUUGGGGCUAAGUCGUAACAAGGUAGCCGUACCGGAAGGUGCGGCUGGAACACCUCCUUUCUGGAGC
rnacentral:rRNA from 1 species